GAUGAACGCUGGCGGCGAGCCUAAUACAUGCAAGUCGAGCGAAUGGAUUAAGAGCUUGCUCUUAUGAAGUUAGCGGCGGGCGGGUGAGUAACACGUGGGUAACCUGCCCAUAAGACUGGGAUAACUCCGGGAAACCGGGGCUAAUACCGGAUAACAUUUUGAACCGCAUGGUUCGAAAUUGAAAGGCGGCUUCGGCUGUCACUUAUGGAUGGACCCGCGUCGCAUUAGCUCGUUGGUGAGGUAACGGCUCACCAAGGCAACGAUGCGUAGCCGACCUGAGGGGGUGAUAGGCCACCCUGGGACUGACACACUGCCCAGCCUCCUACGGGAGGCAGCAGUAGGGAAUCGUCGGUAAUGGACGAAAGUCUGACGGAGCAACGCCGCGUGAGUGAUGAAGGCUUUCGGGUCGUAAAACUCUGUUGUUAGGGAAGAACAAGUGCUAGUUGAAUAAGCUGGCACCCUGACGGUACCUAACCAGAAAGCCACGGCUAACUACGUGCCAGCAGCCGCCGUAA
rnacentral:rRNA from 1 species